GGAAGUGUCAUAGACUACAAAUUGUGUAAUUAGACCAUUAAACACAAAAACGAUGUUUCAAGUGAGAAUUAUGCAGGUCUGAUGCUGAAAAAGCCACUUUCUGUGUGGGAACAACCUCUGUGAGAAGUAGGAGGACCUGAAGAGCUGGGAGGUGAACUUUGCCCAUGCGGAGCAGGGAGAGAAGAGAAACACACGGGUCAAACUCAGAGAAAGGAGGUGAUCGCCAAGAAAA